GUUGUCCAAUUUUCUGUUUGAAAUUUUCCUUCUCUCUUCUGAGUUUGGAAUCUAGAGCCAUGUGUAUACAUCUUCAUUCAUUGUAAGUCUCUAUGAUCUAUAUUUCAAAAAUUUCUCAAAUAUGGAUUGGUGUGUGUUCUUUGGAUAGAAGUCACCAUAAAUUUGAAACUUACAUGAUUUUGUAGGAAAUGGCUGAAUUGGCUCCUGUUAUGCUGUCACCAGAAUUACACAUUUACUCUUGUAAUGAAAUGACAACUUUUAUGAUUAUCUUUUCACUCUAACUUGAUGUUUCAUAGCACAACUGUCAUAAGUUGCUUACAAAAUCUUUUGCUUAUUUUUGAGUGUAAAUUGUUGAAGUAUUUCCAUAUUUAGUUACAGGAAGUGUUUUGGAGCCCCUCAAACCAGAUUAUUGAUUCCUUUCUGCAAUUUUAUAUGGCAGUUGAUUGUGUACAAUAACACAAGGUAUUAGUAUUACAUUUUUAUAUAGUAAUCAACCUUUGAAGAAUACAAUUGACCUAGCUAGUUUGUUUUUAUGUCAAAUUAAGUCUGGUGACGCUGGUAAGCUGCAAUUUCCGCUGUACAAAAUGAUUCUGCUUUGUUACUUAAUUUUAUUGUAAACUGUCACAACUUCAAGAAUAGUGGCUAUCUAAAAAGCUGUCAGUAGCUGAAACCUCUCAAGCCUGGUGCGCACAUAUACCUCGUCUUCUAACAACUAAUAGAAUUGCAUGCAUUUUAGUAAUAUGUAAGAUUUAAAUCUGCAAAUCACUCUUUGGGGUUCGAUAUACUUGGUAUAUAGAUCACUUCUAUAAGUUACAGAUAUGAGGACAAUGAAAAGACAAUGAAUGUCUGCAGUGGAGCUACAUUAGAACAGUGAAUCUUGGAGACCACUAAGACAGGACUUCUGCAGAAUUUGGACAAGUCAGCAUAACUAAAGAAUGGCAAGGCAGGUGCAAGAGCCGCAUCAAGAGGAAGGAAGAACAGGAAAUGCUGUGCUAUUAGGAAACUUCGUUAUCUAAGGCUAGCUUUGCCUUGAAUGACAGCUGAAGUAUGGAAGAGAGUCUAGCAAGAGCCUACAACCUAUGGAACCAACUCAGCCAUAGCUACUAGAAGGGUCAUCAGGGCAGACUAAACACUUUAAUAAUACUAGCAGUCAAACCUGAAAGAAAAGUGCUGAGUUUAGAUUGACUAAGAAGUCGUCUUCCAUUUUUACUGUGGCAAGUUGCAUACUACGUUAAUGCUCAAUUUCUGGAAUGGUAAGAUUGAGAAAGAUGUAUGCAUCGUAACUUGAAAUUUUUUCCCAUAAUUGUAAAUUCAAGGUAUCAGUUUUGUUCAAUUAUGCAGAAUAAUGAUAGUGUUAUUGCAUCAUUUAUAACAAAAUGGUGAUUUUCCAUUGGCUGUAGUUCUCAUUUCAGACAGGCUCCUAAGAGAGCCAUGACAUGGUAAAUCCUGUUCUACUUCCACUCAACAUGUGAAACCAUGGCAUUUGAGGUUGACUGUCACACCAUAAAUAAGGAGUGGGAGCAAAGACAAGAUCUUCUGUUAGCAGUAACUGUCUGCUAAGAGUUCAGUUCAUUGUUUUUUAUUCCCUGAAUUUUAACUUGUUUAUUGCUACAGUGAUUUUGUUUUAUUGAGAGUUUAUUAAAGAUUUUUAUGUAA